UGCAGUCGAGCGGCAGCACGGGUACUUGUACCUGGUGGCGAGCGGCGGACGGGUGAGUAAUGCCUAGGAAUCUGCCUGGUAGUGGGGGAUAACGCUCGGAAACGGACGCUAAUACCGCAUACGCCCUACGGGAGAAAGCAGGGGACCUUCGGGCCUUGCGCUAUCAGAUGAGCCUAGGUCGGAUUAGCUAGUUGGUGAGGUAAUGGCUCACCAAGGCGACGAUCCGUAACUGGUCUGAGAGGAUGAUCAGUCACACUGGAACUGAGACACGGUCCAGACUCCUACGGGAGGCAGCAGUGGGGAAUAUUGGACAAUGGGCGAAAGCCUGAUCCAGCCAUGCCGCGUGUGUGAAGAAGGUCUUCGGAUUGUAAAGCACUUUAAGUUGGGAGGAAGGGCAGUUACCUAAUACGUGAUUGUUUUGACGUUACCGACAGAAUAAGCACCGGCUAACUCUGUGCC
rnacentral:rRNA from 1 species